UCAAUUUUGAAGGGUGGAUUAGGGCCCUCCAGGGUGGCAACGGGUAACGGAGGAUUAGGGGUCGGAUUCGGAGAAGGGAGCCUGAGAAACGGCUCCCACUCCAAGGAAAGCAGCAGGCGCGCAAAAUACCCAAUCCCGACUCGGGGAGUAGGACAAUAAAUAACAAACAGGGCUCUUGGGUCUUGUAAUUGGAAUGAGUACAAUCUAAUCCCUAAUGAGAUC
rnacentral:rRNA from 1 species